GGCACAUGUAUGACCUGUUGGUCUGCAGACAAGAACAUCUCCACAGAGGAUUACUAAAAUGAAUGGAAAAACUAUAAGGAUUUUAAGAUGGGUCACUGUGGUCCUACUAACUACAAUCACAAACACCAGUGUUGUAUGUUCAAAUGUGAGCACCAUCACACCAGUUUCUACCACAAUGGCUGCCGUUAGCACUGACCUGACCACAACUCCAAAUAUGGACACCAUCACAUCGAACCCCACCAUAACAACGGCUGCCACUAGCACUGAACUGACCUCAACUCCAA